rnacentral:rRNA from 1 species
UCGAGCGGGGAUAGGGUGCUUGCACCUGAUUCCUAGCGGCGGACGGGUGAGUAAUGCUUAGGAAUCUGCCUAUUAGUGGGGGACAACGUUCCGAAAGGGACGCUAAUACCGCAUACGUCCUACGGGAGAAAGCAGGGGAUCUUCGGACCUUGCGCUAAUAGAUGAGCCUAAGUCGGAUUAGCUAGUUGGUGGGGUAAAGGCCUACCAAGGCGACGAUCUGUAGCGGGUCUGAGAGGAUGAUCCGCCACACUGGGACUGAGACACGGCCCAGACUCCUACGGGAGGCAGCAGUGGGGAAUAUUGGACAAUGGGGGCAACCCUGAUCCAGCCAUGCCGCGUGUGUGAAGAAGGCCUUUUGGUUGUAAAGCACUUUAAGCGAGGAGGAGGCUUACCUGGUUAAUACCUGGGAUAAGUGGACGUUACUCGCAGAAUAAGCACCGGCUAACUCUGUGCCAGCAGCCGCGGUAAUACAGAGGGUGCAAGCGUUAAUCGGAUUUACUGGGCGUAAAGCGCGCGUAGGUGGCUAAUUAAGUCAAAUGUGAAAUCCCCGAGCUUAACUUGGGAAUUGCAUUCGAUACUGGUUAGCUAGAGUAUGGGAGAGGAUGGUAGAAUUCCAGGUGUAGCGGUGAAAUGCGUAGAGAUCUGGAGGAAUACCGAUGGCGAAGGCAGCCAUCUGGCCUAAUACUGACACUGAGGUGCGAAAGCAUGGGGAGCAAACAGGAUUAGAUACCCUGGUAGUCCAUGCCGUAAACGAUGUCUACUAGCCGUUGGGGCCCUUG